ensembl:misc_RNA Y_RNA Y RNA
GGCUGGUCUGAGUGUAGUAGUGUUUAUAACUAAUUGAUCACACACAGUUACAGAUUUCUCUAUUCCUUGUCCACUCCCAUUGCUUCACUUGACAUGCCUAAA